rnacentral:rRNA from 1 species
GACGAACGCUGGCGGCAUGCCUAAUACAUGCAAGUCGAGCGAACAGAUGAAGUGCUUGCACUUCUGACGUUAGCGGCGAACGGGUGAGUAACACGUAAGGAAUCUACCUAUAAGCGGGGGAUAACAUUCGGAAACGGGUGCUAAUACCGCAUAAUAUCUUCUUCCGCAUGGAAGAAGAUUGAAAGACGGCUCUGCUGUCACUUAUAGAUGACCUUGCGGUGCAUUAGUGAGUUGGUGGGGUAAUGGCCUACCAAGACGAUGAUGCAUAGCCGACCUGGGAGGGUGAUCGGCCACAUUGGGACUGAGACACGGCCCAAACUCCUACGGGAGGCAGCAGUAGGGAAUCUUCCGCAGUGGGCGAAAGCCUGACGGAGCGAUGCCGCGUGAGUGAAGAAGGCCUUCGGGUCGUAAAACUCUGUUAUAAGAGAAGAACAAAUUGUAGAGUAACUGCUACAGUCUUGACGGUAUCUUAUCAGAAAGCCACGGCUAACUACGUGCCAGCCGCCGCCGUAA